CAUCAUUUCUUCAUGAACUCGCAUUCCAGUUUCAUCUUCUCUCCUCUUCCCGCAAUAUCUUUCAUCUCCAGAUCUGCUCAUCGUUAUUUCUCUGCAUCUGAAUCGGUAUGCAGAUUCGUGUACAUCGUUCGCCGAUCUACAGUUUGAGUAUGGUUUCGACUUGUAUCGGUCAUCAUUUCCUUGCAAAUCGUAACAAAUAGUGCCGAUCUAUCAUUUCUGAGAUUUUUCGGUAUGAAUAUUGCUCGGGUUAUGGACGAUGCUGUUGGCUAGACGAAGAUUGGAUAGAUCUGAUGGAUUUGUUACGAGAUUGAGAGAUGUAUGACCUUUUCAAGGAGUUCUCGGUGAUCUGAGAUGAUUUUUUGAGUUUUAUCGGUUAUCAUCGUUUCAAUCUGGUGAUUUUACCGUACCUCUGUUGAGCUUGGUGCAAUUGGAUAUCAGUGGUGUUAGAUUUAUGCUAGAUCUCGGGGAUGGUAACGACAAGCUUGAGGUUGUUAGAUAAGGUUAUCAUAGUUUAAUUUGUUGUCUAUUCUCAGCUUUAUUAUGAAAAUUUGCAUUAGUUUUACUGUUAUGCAUGCAUAUGUACGAGAAAAUAAUCAGAUUGUAGAGAAAAGAGGGGAUGUGUGAGGUUCUUUAUUGUUGUUUGCCGGCCUUUGCCAUGCCGGGUGCGCUCGCAUGGCAGGUCACAAAACCUAAUAAAGAUGCGAUUUUUGUGUUCGGAGGGGAGAUGGUACGGGGUUUUUUGCCCGACUCUCCUCUCUGCGUCUUGUCUUUGGCCUCCCUUCUUUCUUUUCUAGAACUGUCUGCAAGAUCUACUCGGAUAAACGUCUCAUCAAAUUUGGCGUUAAUGUCCCCGAACGAUGGUUUCGAUAUCCGCAAGAUAUAGCAGCGCUCUACUUUUUCAAGGGAUAGGUAUGUCAUUCACUAUUAAUACAACAAUGGACAGGCGAAUUCUAGGAUUAUUCAGCUCCACUCUCCUAUCAAAGGUACACUUGUGAAUUCCUUUUAACUAACUUUGACACUUAACUUUCAUAGCAUAUGUACUUUCCAUGAGUAAAUAUAAGCCUUGCCAAUAGUAGUCCGUAAAAUCUUUAACUGUUUCUGAGUACAGUCUACUUAUAACUAUUGGUUAAUUUAUCAAAUGAAAUAGCAAAAUGACUUAUGUUGAAUACUGGAACAGUUCAAUUCCAAGUCAAAUCUGUUUCACAUAGAUAUAAGAUAAUCUAUCCAUUUGCGAAUAAUGAUAAAUUAAUAUCUGUAGCUGAAUUAUAUCUGGAGUGAACUAGUUUUCCGAAUGAAGUUUAGCAGUUUUGACGAUCUGAAAAUUUGGGUUUGAGAUACUGAUCUCUCUUUUACUAUAGUUUAUACAUGCCAGUAAUCAAAUGGGUGGCUAUUAAAUGAAACUAGAUUAUUAUUUGUUUCAUCAUCCGUAUUCAAAAUCUUUGUCAAGUCUAUUAAAUCAAUAUCUAUCACUAAUUCAAAAAGGAAUCUGUGUACAUGAUUGCCAUUUAUUCAUUUAUCAUCAUUGCGAAAAUUUCAAUACAUAAUUUCCUAAUUACAUUAAAGGCAGUGGAACAAUCUUCGUAUUUUUUUUCUUGUAAUAAUUUGCAAUGGUGGAUUUCAAUGGAGUCUAUUGUUGAGCUCAUUCUGUUAUCCUAGAGGGUGAAUGUUUAUUGGGGUAUGAUUCAGUAAGUUAAUUGCUGGAAGUACUUUCGUACGAUUGUUGUUCCUCUGCUGGUUGGUUCACUGUGCAUGCUGACCUGGAAGUUGCUGUGCUAUACUGCAAUGGAUCUGCUCCAUCUGAAAUCAAUUAUUAUGUUCCUACUUUUGGACUCUUUUCCUUGAUCGCGAGCUUGGAAUUUCCUGUUUUAUAUGCUGUCAUAUUUCUGGUGCAAUCAAGUUUUAUGUGGAAUUUCUCAACUCCCUUUACCUGGACCAUCUUCACUUGGGAUACACAAUGAGCAACCCCAAUUGUUAGCUGCUUCGUUCUAGCAUGUCUGAUAAGGAAGCAUCUUACAAGUGAGUUAGGAAUCAAUUGGAAACUCGGACAUUUCCAAAGUUUCUUGACUAAGUUGCUGCUGUCUGUAUACCUUGGUACUCUCAUUAAUAGCUGUAUACAAUUUCUAUGCUGUUUCUCAGAGAAAGUAAGACCUUACUGCAGAAUGAAGGGGGUCUACCAUUUUAUUAUUGUCCUUGAUCCAUUUGUGCAAGUAAUGUGUACAUUUUUGAAGCGGGCUACCUGUGAUGGAGUGUGAUUACAACUUAUUAUUAUGCCUUAUUUGAGAAGUUGCUGUUAUGUAGGCAGAAAAGUGGGGAUAUUUGCCAUCUUGUGCUAUGUAUACUGUGCAAGUUAAUAUUUCUCUUCACUGAAGGGUUAACCGCAAGGAAAUAUUGUUAAUCUGGUAUAUUUGAUUACUGGAUCGUCUGUUGAGGUAAUCUGUUCUUUAAUGUUAGGUUGUUAUGCUUGUUAAUCAGUUGUGUUUUUAAUAUACCCACUGGUAGUCAUUUUCUUUGAGCAAAAGGGAAAUAUCAUUUUCCACUUGGGAAACUGAAGUUUAUAAACCCAUCAUAUAGAUAAUUUUGGUUUCA